AUUGAACGCUGGCGGCAUGCCUUACACAUGCAAGUCGAACGGUAACAGGUCUUCGGACGCCGACGAGUGGUGAACGGGUGAGUAAUACAUCGGAACGUGUCCAGUCGUGGGGGAUAACUACUCGAAAGAGUGGCUAAUACCGCAUACGAUCUGAGGAUGAAAGCGGGGGACCUUCGGGCCUCGCGCGAUUGUAGCGGCCGAUGGCAGAUUAGGUAGUUGGUGGGAUAAAAGCUUACCAAGCCGACGAUCUGUAGCUGGUCUGAGAGGACGACCAGCCACACUGGGACUGAGACACGGCCCAGACUCCUACGGGAGGCAGCAGUGGGGAAUUUUGGACAAUGGGCGAAAGCCUGAUCCAGCAAUGCCGCGUGCAGGAUGAAGGCCUUCGGGUUGUAAACUGCUUUUGUACGGAACGAAAAAGCUUCCCCUAAUACGGGAGGCCCAUGACGGUACCGUAAGAAUAAGCACCGGCUAACUACGUGCCAGCAGCCGCCGUAACAC
rnacentral:rRNA from 1 species